CCUACGGGAGGCAGCAGUGAGGAAUAUUGGUCAAUGGGCGUAAGCCUGAACCAGCCAAGUCGCGUGAGGGAUGAAGGUUCUAUGGAUCGUAAACCUCUUUUAUAAGGGAAUAAAGUGCGGGACGUGUCCCUUUUUGUAUGUACCUUAUGAAUAAGGAUCGGCUAACUCCGUGCCAGCAGCCGCGGUAAUACGGAGGAUCCGAGCGUUAUCCGGAUUUAUUGGGUUUAAAGGGUGCGUAGGCGGCCUUUUAAGUCAGCGGUGAAAGUCUGUGGCUCAACCAUAGAAUUGCCGUUGAAACUGGGAGGCUUGAGUAUGUUUGAGGCAGGUGGAAUGCGUGGUGUAGCGGUGAAAUGCUUAGAUAUCACGCAGAAUCCCGAUGGCGAAGGCAGCCUGCCAAGCCAUGACUGACGCUGAUGCACGAAAGCGUGGGGAUCAAACAGGAUUAGAUACCCGUGUAGUC
rnacentral:rRNA from 1 species